AGCAGCCGCGGUAAUUCCAGCUCCAAUAGCGUAUAUUAAAGUUGUUGCAGUUAAAAAGCUCGUAGUUGAAUUUCGGAAUUUGUCGGUUGGUCGGGCUUCACUGUCCGCACUGGCCUGAUGGAUUCCUACCUUCUGAAUAACCAGCAUGCUAUUAAUUUAGUGCGUUGGGGAAGCAGAGCUAUUACCUUGAAAAAAUUAGAGUGCUUAAAGCAGGCUCACGCUUGAAUAGAUUAGCAUGGAAUAAUAAAAUAGGACGGCUUGGUUCUAUUUUGUUGGUUUCUAGGAUCACCGUAAUGAUUAAUAGGGAUAGUUGGGGGCAUUAGUAUUCAAUUGUCAGAGGUGAAAUUCUUGGAUUUAUUGAAGACUAACUUCUGCGAAAGCAUUUGCCAAGGAUGUUUUCAUUAAUCAAGAACGAAAGUUAGGGGAUCGAAGACGAUCAGAUACCGUCGUAGUCUUAACCAUAAACUAUGCCGACUAGGGAUCGGACGAUGUUAAUUUUUUAAUGACUCG
rnacentral:rRNA from 1 species